GAGGUCCCUUUCCGUUUAGGAUUCAGAAUAGAUUCAAGGUAUCUCUUGAGGUGCAUUUUUGGGAAGUACUGGGUUUUCACAUAAUUUAAAAUGAUUCCUCUGGCUUUACCUAAAAAAGACCCAAUACACCUUUCUCUCUCUUUUUCCCCUUACUUACUGUAAUAGUUUCCUUUUGCUGCUGUAACAAGUUAUCACAAACUUCAUGGCUGAAAACUGUAUUAUCUUAGAGUUGUGGAAGUCAGAUCUGAAAUGAUUUUCACUGGGCUAGCAAGAAGGUGUUGGCAGGCCAGGGUUCCUUCUGCAGGCUCUAGGGAGAAUCUGUUUCCUUGCCUCUUCCAGCUUCUACAGGCUGCCUGUGUUCCUUCGCUCGUGGGCCCUUCCUCCAUCUUCAAGCCAGCAACUUAGCCCCUUCUCUCCUCUCUAACCUCUGCUCCCACCCUUACAUCUUUUCUUUCUGACCAGCUCUACUGCCUCUCUUUUAUAAGGAUAUUUGUGGUUACGUUGGGCAACAUGUAUAAACAUGGAUAAUCUCCUCAUCUCAAGAGCCAUAACUUAAUCACAUCUGCAAAGUAAGGUCUCUUUUGCCAUAUAAGGUAACAUGUUCACAGGUUCUCAGAAUUAGGACAUGGACAACUUGGGGGGCCAUUAUUCAGCAGACCACAUUUAAUUAGUGUUUAGAGUUUCCCUGGCAGAUAUGUGCAGAUAUCUUGAUCUGAGUGUUUCAAAUACAAACUAUACCUAACUUUCCACACACAAGGAAUGAUUACUGAUGAUGUGUAAAGAUUGAAUUUUAUUUUUCAUCCAUAUUUUUAAAAAUACUAAUUUUUUUAAAUAUCUUCAGAGUAUGAAAGAAUUUUCAUUUUGCUUGAAGGAGUGCAAGGACCUCUUGCAGUGAGGAAACAAUUUAUUGAAUUUACCAUCAAGGAAGCUGCAAGGUUCAAAAGACGAGUCUUAAUUCAGUACCUUGAGAAGCUACUAGAA